rnacentral:rRNA from 1 species
CCUACGGGUGGCUGCAGUGGGGAAUAUUGCACAAUGGGCGAAAGCCUGAUGCAGCAACGCCGCGUGAAGGAAGACGGUUUUCGGAUUGUAAACUUCUAUCAAUAGGGAAGAAAGAAAUGACGGUACCUAAAUAAGAAGCCCCGGCUAACUACGUGCCAGCAGCCGCGGUAAUACGUAGGGGGCAAGCGUUAUCCGGAAUUACUGGGUGUAAAGGGAGAGUAGGUGGCAAGGUAAGCGAUAUGUGAAAGCCUUAAGCUUAACUUAAGGAUUGCAUAACGAACUAUCUAGCUAGAGUACAGGAGAGGAAAGCGGAAUUCCUAGUGUAGCGGUGAAAUGCGUAGAUAUUAGGAAGAACACCGAUUGCGAAGGCAGCUUACCAAGCUACUUCUGACGUUGAGGCACGAAAGCGUGGGGAGCAAACAGGAUUAGAUACCCGAGUAGUC